rnacentral:tRNA from 1 species
ACCUGGGUGGCUCAGUCUGUUAAGCAUCUGACUUCAGCUCAGGUCAUGAUCUCACAGUCCGUGAGUUCGAGCCCCACGUCAGGUU